UGACAGCCGACCUAACUGCUCAGGCUACACCUCGGUGUGGUUUUCUCCACCGUCACUGCUGCACGGGGGCCCCGGUCGGCCACAGCCGCUGAGAACCGUUUGAGAAAUGAGUCACCCGAGUGCGGCGGAGCCGAGAGCCACCAUCUUCACUACAACAGAUAAACCGUCAUGAUUCCCAUCACAGAGCUCCGGUACUUUGCUGACACGCAGCCAGCGUACCGCAUCCUGAAGCCAUGGUGGGACGUUUUCACCGACUACAUCUCGGUCAUCAUGCUGAUGAUCGCCGUGUUCGGCGGCACGCUGCAGGUCACGCAGGACAAGAUGAUCUGCCUGCCGUGCAAGUGGGUGGUCAACAAGUCCUGCGAGACCAUGCCCGUGCUCAACGUGAGCGCCGCCGAUGCCUCGGAGCCCAGGGGCAUCCAGUACGACCUGGACCGCCAUCAGUAUAACUACGUCGAUGCGGUCUGCUACGAGAACAAACUGCACUGGUUUGCCAAAUAUUUCCCCUACCUGGUGCUAAUCCACACCCUUAUCUUCCUGGCCUGCAGCAACUUCUGGUUCAAGUUCCCCCGCACCAGCUCCAAACUGGAGCACUUUGUCUCCAUCCUCCUCAAGUGCUUCGACUCCCCGUGGACGACCAGGGCUUUGUCCGAGACGGUGGUGGAGAGCGACCCCAAGCCGCUGGGCAAAAUGAACGGCUCCCUGGAUAAGCCCUCGUGCGUGAGCGAGGACGUCGAGGCCAGCGUGCCCAUGCUCCAACGGACCAAGUCCAGGAUCGAGCAAGGAAUCAUCGACCGCUCGGACACCGGGGUGUUGGACAAGAAGGAAGGGGAGCAGGCCAAGGCUCUGUUUGAGAAGGUGAAGAAGUUCAGGAUCCACGUGGAGGAGGGCGACAUCGUGUACCGCCUUUACAUCCGCCAGACCAUCAUCAAAGUCAUCAAGUUCAUCCUGAUCAUCAGCUACACGGCCUACUACGUCCGCUUCAUCACCUUCAGCGUGGUGUGCACGGUGAACCUGCAGAAACUCACGGGCUACAGCACCUUCUACUGCGCUCACCCCCUGGCCACGCUCUUCAAGAUCUUGGCCUGUUUCUACAUCAGCUUGGUGGUGGUGUACGGCCUCAUCUGCAUGUACACCCUGUGCUGGAUGGUCAGCCGCUCCCUCAAGCGCUACUCCUUUGAAUCCAUCCGCGAGGAGAGCAGCUACAGCGACAUCCCCGACUUGAAGAACGACUUUGCCUUCAUGCUGCACAUGAUCGACCAGUACGACCCGCUCUACUCCAAGCGCUUCGCCGUGUUCCUGUCGGAGGUGAGCGAGAACAAGCUGCGGCAGCUGAACCUGAACAACGAGUGGACGCUGGAGAAGCUGAGGCAGCGCAUCACCAAGAACUCCCAGGAGAAGCUGGAGCUGCACCUCUUCAUGCUCGGCGGCAUCCCGGACACCGUGUUCGACCUGGUCGAGCUGGAGGUGCUCAAGCUGGAGCUCAUCCCCGACGUCACCAUUCCGCCGAUCAUCGCCCAGCUCUCCAGCCUGAGGGAGAUGUGGCUCUAUCACACGAUGGUGAAGAUCGAUGCGCCGGCUCUCGCCUUCCUGCGGGAGACCCUGAAGUCCCUUCACAUCAAGUUCACCGACAUCAAGGAGAUCCCGCUGUGGAUCUACAGCCUGAAGAACCUCAGCGAGCUGCACCUCACCGGGAACCUGAGCGCGCACAACAACCGCUACGUCGUCAUCGACGGGCUCCGGGAGCUCAAGAGGCUCAAAGUGCUGCGGCUGAAGAACAACCUGACCAAGCUGCCGCAGGUGGUGACGGACGUGGGCGUGCACCUCCAGAAGCUCUCCGUCAACAACGAGGGCACCAAGCUGAUGGUGCUCAACAGCUUGAAGAAGAUGGUCAACCUGACGGAGCUGGAGCUCGUCCGCUGCGACCUGGAGCGCAUCCCGCACUCCAUCUUCAGCCUGCACAACCUGGAGGAGAUCGACCUGAAGGACAACAACCUGAAGACCAUCGAGGAGAUCAUCAGCUUCCAGCACCUGCACCGGCUGGUGUGCCUGAAGCUGUGGUACAACCAGAUCGCCUACAUCCCCAUUCAGAUCGGAACGCUGACCCACCUGGAGAGGCUGUAUCUGAACCGGAACAAGAUCGAGAAGAUCCCCAGUCAGCUGUUCUUCUGCAACAAGCUGCGCUUCCUGGACCUGAGUCACAACAACCUGACCCGCAUCCACGCGGACGUGGGCUUCCUCCAGAACCUGCAGUACUUCGCUGUGACGGCAAACCGGAUCGAGACUUUGCCCUCGGAGCUCUUCAAGUGCAAGAAGCUGCGCACUCUGAAUCUGGGGAACAACUGCCUGCAGACGCUGCCGUCGCGCUUCGGGGAACUCACCGGGCUGACCCAGCUGGAGCUGAGAGGCAACCGCCUGGAGUGUCUCCCGGUGGAGCUCGGCGAGUGCCGGCUGUUGAAGAGGAGCAGUCUGGUGGUGGAGGAGGACCUGUUCAACACGCUGCCGCCAGAGGUCAAGGAGCAGCUCUGCAGGGCCGAUAAGGAGCAAGCGUGAGCCCGACCUCAGAGGGGAGAAGUUUGACCGCUCCGAGGAAUCUUUUUACGUGAAGAAAAUGACUGAUGAAGAUCAACCAAUCAUCUCACAGCAGUGACCAGCUGGGGGCCAGACGAUGAACCCAGAGAGGCCGGUCCUUCCUGUUGCCACACGUAGCUGCAAUUGGUGAUUCUUCUGUGAGGGACGAGUUGUAGGACGACUCCUCAUCCCAAAGGGAACUUGAUACGGUAACGUGGCUCGUUGCUGUGCUGCAGUGCAGCUUCUGGUGCUGCUGACACCAACAACAUGCCCCCUGCAGUGCACCAGAGUCCCAUUAGGACAUUGAUUAUCAGAUGUGGUGACCUUUGGCCUUAACUUGGUGUUCUUCUGAGGUUGGAUGAUCACAACUCUGUGUGCUUUUCUUCUGACCUAUGAUUAACCCUUUAGUUUAUUCUUACACCUUUUUUAGAUUUGAUCAAAUGACUAUUGAUAUAUUCAUGUAUCUGUUGGUCUACGUCAGCAUCGCUACACAUAUGUAGUCAGAUAUGUGUCACACUUUAUCCUGCUGACUAUUGGAUUUAUAUCCACAAAUAUCCUUCUUUUUUUUUACCUUGAGAGCUCCCACAACAGUCACUUCCCUCCGAGUCACAAGACGACGAGCACAUUAAAGCCGCCAGACUCCCUUUUCCUGCACGUCAGCGAGUCGGAUGAAGGUCGAAGAUGAGGUCGCUCCACGAUUUGCAGAGCACCAAAAAAAAGACUUUAAAAAAAAAAAAGCCCCAUGGUUACUUUUUUAAACUCUCAAGCGAGCAUUUUAAUUCCUAUCAUCAGAAGCGGCUCAUCCUCAUCGAAAAACCUUCUAUGAUUUUAAUCAACACAUGUUAAAGCGUUUUCUUUUUUGUGUGCAAAUGCAUAAAAUAGGUUUUGUUAUUUAGCUUUUGUGUUGCCCCCCGUGACGUUAUUUAAGGUAUGAGAUAUUAAAAAAAAUCUUUAUUUAUGUUAUGUCGGCCUUGAGUAGUGUAGUUUGUGUGAAUCUGUCACAUUUGCAUCCACAGAGGUUUUUACAGACAGUGGGAUGAUGAUUUUAUUUGGAUGCAGCUACUUUCCACAAAAAACAGACAAAGACAAUCUGUCAUAUUUCUGAAGUGUGUACAGUUUAGGAAAUCACAAUAUUCAAAACCCUGCAUAAAAGAAGCCGCCUACUUUCCCCGAGCAGCAUCCCUGUUGAACAUGAAGCGUGAGCCGGAUGGACAGACGCCGUCUGACGGGACACGGCCUUUUAUUAAUUAAGCGUUGCCAAGUGGACUGAACACUGGCUUUUCAAGCGAGAUGUCUGUAACCAUGGACAACUGAAGUUUUUAAUGUUCAGACCUUACUUUUUGUACCAUUCAUGAUAUUGAAAUAAACAUUAACACUGAAUCCGGUUCCAACCAGUGUGACUUCCUCAUCUGGGGGAUGGUUCUUAUUUCAGGAGAAGAUUCUAAGCACCGAACUUGCUGACAAAUGUAGUUUUGAAUACUUGUGAUGAAGUUGGCUUCUAACUUUUCUUCUUAACAGACAAAGCACAGCAAAACAUGUAUUACUGUGUGUAAUAAAUGUCUCUAGAUUUUAA